CCGGGAUUGCCUCAGUAACGGCGAGUGAAGCGGCAACAGCUCAAAUUUGAAAUCUGGCCCCGCCCGGGGUCCGAGUUGUAAUUUGCAGAGGGUGUCUCGGGGCCGGCGCCGGCCCAAGUCCCCUGGAACGGGGCGUCGCAGAGGGUGAGAAUCCCGUCCGCGGCCGGCGACCCUACCCGUGUGAGACCCCUUCGACGAGUCGAGUUGUUUGGGAAUGCAGCUCUAAAUGGGUGGUAAAUUCCAUCUAAAGCUAAAUACCGGCCAGAGACCGAUAGCGCACAAGUAGAGUGAUCGAAAGAUGAAAAGCACUUUGGAAAGAGAGUCAAACAGUACGUGAAAUUGUUGAAAGGGAAGCGCUUGCGACCAGACCUGACCGGGGGCGAUCAGCGGCCGUUCUCGACCGUGCACUCGUCCCCGCGCAGGCCAGCAUCGGUUCGGGCGGUCGGACAAAGGCCGCGGGAAUGUAGCUCCCCCCGGGGAGUCUUAUAGCCCGCGGUGCAAUGCGGCCAGCCCGGACCGAGGACCGCGCUCCGGCUAGGAUGCUGGCGUAAUGGUCGUCAGCGACCCGUCUUGAAACACGGACCAAGGAGUCUAACAUCUGUGCGAGUGUUCGGGUGCCAAACCCGUGCGCGGAAUGAAAGUGAAUGGAGGUGGGAGCCCUGGAGGGCGCACCAUCGACCGAUCCGGACCUCUUGAGAUGGAUUUGAGUAUGAGCAUAGCUGUUGGGACCCGAAAGAUGGUGAACUAUGCCUGAAUAGGGUGAAGCCAGAGGAAACUCUGGUGGAGGCUCGCAGCGGUUCUGACGUGCAAAUCGAUCGUCAAAUUUGGGUAUAGGGGCGAAAGACUAAUCGAACCAUCUAGUAGCUGGUUUCUGCC
rnacentral:rRNA from 2 species